UACGGAGGGGGCAAGCGUUCUCCGGAAUGACUGGGCUUAAAGGGCGCGUAGGCGGCCUUAUAAGUUAGAGGUGAAAGCCCAUCGCUCAACGAUGGAACUGCCAUUGAUACUGUAAGGCUUGAGUACAGACGAGGUAGGCGGAAUUGAUGGUGUAGCGGUGAAAUGCAUAGAUACCAUCAAGAACACCGAUUGCGUAGGCAGCUUACUAGGCUGUAACUGACGCUGAGGCACGAAAGCGUGGGGAGCGAACAGG
rnacentral:rRNA from 1 species